UCUGAGGUUUGAAAUUAAACUUGAAUUUAGCAUUCAAUUUAGAUUUAACACAAGCUAGCUGAGCAGUGAAUUUGUAAGCUCUUUUUGGGAAAACAUACUGAGAAAAGAUUGUGGAUGAAUGUUGCAAUUUAGCAAUCUUUUAAAAGGAAUACUUCUGUAUUUUGAUUUUACAUAAGUUAAAUUUAAUUAACUUGACUUAAUGCUCAGACCUUUCAAAAAUAGUAAUAAUAACUUUAUUUACAGAACACAAUAAUAAUGAUAUGAUUUAGAUGUAUUUCUCUAAAGUAAAUUAUGACAACAUAGGCACUAUUUGCAUACAACAUUCAAGUGUCCUUGACUACAUGCUGAAGUGCCCAGUUAAAAGUUAAUUGUCUGUAUAAAGAUUAUAUUUCUUAUUUAAGACUUGUCCAGAGAUAAAUGGUCAGGAAACAGAAAAACAAAGCAAGGAACUUAGUACCAACAUCCAGGAGUUUAGGAAAGUCCGGAAUUGCCCAAGGAAAGUGGCAAAAGGAAAGAAAUACCAGUUUCAAAAGUAAAGGAACCCAAAAAGAAGCCGGUAACAGAAAAGCAGGCAAAAAUCAAUUUGGAGAAGGCUGCAGAGGCCCAGUGUAUGUUUGAGGUGGAGGUGGAGACUAAAAGGAAUCAAGAAACAUAUAAAGAUUAAGUGGAAUCAAUGUAUUGUUUUGUAUGUUAAACUUGCUCAAAUUGCACUAUUAUGAUGAUUGAUCUAAAGAAUACCCUGAUUUUUCCAUAUAUUUUAAGAAGGAAAGGUCCAUUGCAUAAUUAUAGUCUUAAAAUAGCAUAAUUUUCCAAGUACAUCAAUUUUCUUGUAUUUUUGUGCAAGUCAAAAGAAUUGUUCAUUGUUGCAUUUUGAAAACAAAAGUCUACACUAGUUUUACUUAGUUUCAUUUAAUUAUUUUUAGUUUUGAUGAUGCAACUCCGUGUUGACAUCUGCAUUAAAUGUAUUAAAUGCAGAUGAUGCAAUAAGUGAAGAUAAUUCUCCACAACCAGUAUAUCAUACCAAUUGACCAAACCAGAGUCCAACAUCUGGAAGGGAAAGUGAACUGGCUGGAGAUGCAGCUUAACCAGGCUUGGGGCUGCAUAUAUGAAUUGCAAAGAAAUGUGCAAUGGUUGAGUCAAUCUUGCAAUCACAACCAAGCAGUUGCAGGUCAAUCAACUCAGGAAAAUGAAGACGUGGAUGUUGUAAAGGUUAAUCCAGAGAGCACAGAAGCCAGCAGUCAGGAAGAAAUCUCUACAGUUGAUCAUCCUUCAGACACUUUAUAUAACAAUUAUACAAAGGUACUUAUGCUUCUGGUGAGCUAAAAAUGUAACUGGAAAUAAGUCUUUCAAAAGGUAUAAUUAUAAUUCUAUAUUUGGUAUUUUUUAAAUUUGUUUUUCAAUUUAAAGAUAUGUAGCAAUGGACACAUCCACAGAAAUUGGUGUUCACAGUCACAGAUGAACAAAAGACUUCAUAGUGGAGAUUUCCUUACAUAUGCCAGUAUCUUGACUUCUGGAAAUAAUCAUGGCAAACUGGCUCUAUGGGCCAAGAUGCUAGGUUUAAAAUUUCCUUCUGCAGACCAGUUUCAUGGAAUCCAAGCAACAUACAUGGUACCAACACAACAGUUGAUAAUUACUGGAAAGACCAUCAGAAGUCAGUCAUUGAAUCUUUCAGGGGAAAGCCAGUUGUUGUUAUGGGUGUGUGUCUUUAAUUACUCAUGUCUUGAAAUGUAUUCUGCAUACAUUUUUUUCCCAACAUGUAGCCAAACAAAUAUUCAUGAUAAUGAGAUAUUAAAUUUACCACAUAGCCCCUUUUGUGAGCGAGCUUACUAAUCAGUGCAAGGCUUAACAGCAGCCAAAGUCAGUCUAAGAAUUUUCACAGUUAAAACUUGAGUGAUAUUUUGUUUUUACAAGGAUAAAUAAGGUUUUUAAUUGGAAAAUAUUUUUACUUGGAACAUUAAAUCUAUCACUGGUAAUUUAUGAUUUCAUAACUUUUUUUCAGAAUUCAGUACAUAACCAUUAAUUAUAAGAAUCCUUUGUUCUGUCUAACAUCUGUACUUUUAGACAAGAUGUCUACUCAUUUCCGUAAAGGAAACGUUGCAAACUGACAAAAGGUUUGCGAAUGAAACAGUGUCGUACAAACUUGAGAUAGCAUAACCUUUUACAGAGUGUAAAAAUGGAAACACUCGUGGGCGGAAGUGAGACAGAAGCUGCGCGCGAGGAGGGAGGCACCUCACCGGAUAAAAUAAGUGAAUUUGUCAGUAAAGGGGAAAGAUUUUCGUAACCAUGACAAAUAUGCUGCAAGAAAUGUCACAUCAUGGUAUAAAGUUAUCUGCAGUUGCUGAAACGGUAGAAAAACUUCAGGCUGAUAUAAAAUCAAUAAAGAGAAAAUAUGCAUCAAACAAUGUGGGUACUUCGAAAAAACGAAAAACAAUAAACCAUGAAACCUCCAGCAGUGACACAUCUUCGGACAACGAUGACGACGAAAAUACAAAUGAUACCAAUAAUGCAGCAGACGUAGCUGCUUUAUCUUCUGACAGACAGUCUGAAACUGAUGAGGAAGAAGAAAAUGAUGAUUAUCUGCAAGAUCUAGAUAAUAAAUUUAAAGGAAAAAUUGAAACGGGGGAGAAAGUGUCAGAAAAGAUUGCUGGAUUUACAAACAGAGGGCUUCGAGCAGAUCCCCAAGAACAAAUAAUGAAGCAACUAAGGGAAAAACACAAAAUACCAAAAACUUUGCCCCUUUUUUUCUCAAAUGACCCCCUUUUGAAAAGUUUAUGGGCCCGAAGGGCCCCUGGAAAUUUGUUCUAGAUUGAACACUGUUUUUUACAAGAAGAUUUUAUAAGAUUUUUGUUCUUCAUGGACCAACACAUGGACGACGGACAAUUGGCCAUCACAAAAGCUCACCUUGAGGACAUUGUCUUUGAUAAAAACACUAAAAUUUGUAUUGUUACAAUUUCUUUCUAUUCUGUUAAAGAAAUUGAUAUGAUUUUUAUGCAAAGUAAUAUGAAAUUUAUUUGCUUAGGAAGAUUAAGUGCUUUACAGUAAUUGGCCUCUCACUUCACAGUAAAUGGCCUCUGAAUCAUUUUAUCUACUUUUGUAUCUAAUCUCUUUCGGUAUCAAGGAGGCUGCCGUCUGCCGUCUCUAUUGUUUGUCCGGCAGUCCGGCAGGGCUCUCAUAUAUAAGGGCUGAACAGAGCAAAAGGGGGGGUUAGUUAGAGUUGGUCAGGAGUUAGUCGGAGUGAGCCAGAGAAUUUGGUAAAAGAUUGAGUAUGAGUUUUUAGGAAAUUUUGUGUAAAUGGAAAUAUGAAUGUUUGUGAAAAUAAAAUUAUAGUAGAAGACUUUGUCCUUCUGUUGUGUUUUAUCAACUCGGCUUCAAGUAAAUGAGGAACUUAUUUAACAUGAUAUUUGCAACAAGGUCUAGCCUUUGAUUGCUACCAUCAAAGGGGCAAUUUUGUUACAGUAUUGUAAAUACUUAAAAUACCGGUAAAUAUAUAUAUAUAGAGAAAACUAGAAAUAUCAGGACAAGUAACUGUCUAGUUAUCGCAACAAUAAACCCAUUUAAUAAAGCAUCCAAAGCUACAAUAGCUAGAUGGGUUUAAAGUGUUCUCAAAGCAUCUGGUAUAGACAGUAAUUUUAAGCCACAUAGCAUAAGAUCAGCAUCUACUUCAAAAGCAAAGAAAGAGGGAGUGAAACUCAAUCACUUAUUAAAAUGCUGAAGGUUGGACAAAUGCAAAAAUUCUAUAAAAGAGAUAUUGUAGAAAUACCAUCUGAAAAGUUUCAAAAUGCUAUUGUAACAGAUGUAUAAAGUUUGCUUAUUAAAAAACUACAGUACAAUUGCUGUUGAUUGUAAAUGCAAAUUUGCAGAAAUUGCUCUAAAAUCUUGUGUGGGGCUCUUAAGGGUGUUAUGCAGGAGAUUAAAUUAAUUAACAAAGACUUACCUUUGUAGAUGGGAAGUUGAAGGUUGAUUGGAUUUCAUCUACUGCAAACUCCUUAAGAGCUCAACACGUCCUUCCCUACCCCACCCAAACUAUAUUUAUAUUCCUUCAAAUUUGCUAAGUGAAAGGUUUUUUUGGAACUACUAAUAGAAGUUUUCAACUUCGAAAAGACAGUAAAGACAGUAAAGGAAAGGAAGGAUAGUAACAAGCACUUAGUACAGGCAUCUCCUUUUAUAUGUAUGCAACAAACACAACAACAACAGCAUACAGUACAUAAGUACAACCACCAUACUCAGGUCUUGCAGGAGUAAGUUAAACAUUAUCUGUAUAUAUAGCUUAACAUCAUGUUAUUAUAUGUAUUACAGAUGAAGGAGUAUACAUGCCUUUUGUGUGGGCUGGAGGGUAUGUACGAAGUAGUGUACUGCCACAUAUACUGUUACAGUAUACAUACUAGGGAAAGACCACCUCAUCUAUGUUCAUGCAGCUAUGCAGCAGUAUCAGAAACGAAACUCAUCAAGCACCUCAAGAAGAGAAACAUCUGCAAAAGGGCUGGCACUGGCAAGACUACAGUCCCUGUUGAAAAGGUUAUACAGAAAGCGCCAAGGGUGAAAGAUGUCAGUACAAUGACAGAAACCACACAAGGAAGCCUAGAAGAGAGGUACAUGUAUAUUGCACUGUUGAACCAGCUUCUUGUACCAGCUCUGGGUGUUCACACUCACCAAGCCAUCUCUUUCUACGACUACUUAGAAAGUAAAGCAAAGGAAGAAGGGGGAAGCCAUGGAUCUGAGACCUCCCACCACCAAUCAGAGUUCCAGCUGAACCAUUACCAUCAGCAAUUCAUUUUUGGAAUUGAGCAGCCGAAGAUUCUAUCUCAAAGUACAUUGAGCGUCUUUGUGUUUAAGGCAAACAUCACCUUCCUUUCAGUUGUACAGUUACAGUCCUUUUUUGACAUGUCAAUUUCAAAAUACUUUUUAAUACUUAAAGAAAGCAACAUUACUAUAGUGAUACACACCAUGUCAUUUAUUUAAUAAGUAAAUAUCAAAAACUAUAUACUAUAUAUAUUUGUUAAGGCAAUGAUUUUUGUUAGUAAAAAAAUUAUGUAUGUGUGAUUAUUUAUUGACUUUUUUUGUCAACUUAAUAGUUUUUCUGAGAUUAAGAGUUUUCUAUAGGAUUUAAGAUCCUCUGAGAAACAAGACCAUCCAAUUAAUUUGUUUAUCAGUACUGGAUCCUAACAUAGCCAGACACAAAAAAGCAUUCAAGUACCUGGCAAGUUUUCUUCCAAAUGUCAACACUGUAUAAGAGACUGGUCAUCUUGACAUGGAGUUGAAUGCUUUUAAUGUUGAUCAACAAGUCAGUGACCUUAGAGGCAGAUAUGAUGAAAAGAGAGUGGAUUCGGGUUUUUGGUGCCAUGUUGGAAAAUUUAAAACAUCUGACAAUCCAAGGUACCCUGUAUUGAACCACCUUGUUUGUGCAAUCUUAACAGCAUUCAGUGGCCGUUUAAUUGAAGGCACCUUCAAUAUAAUGGGGGACAUCA